AUCAGCCAUCUGUCGGAGUCUUCUCUAUCGGAGUUGCUUAUUUUAUUUCUCUAACUCGUUUAAUGUAGCUAUGAUUUAAUUUUCUCCCAUGGACCAAAAAUUUUCAUCAAUUUUCAUCUAAAUUUCUCUCAAUUCAAUCUUCGAAAAUCCCCAAUUUUUUUCAAUAAUCGCCUAAUUACCCUUCAAAAUCUUCAUUUCUACAUCAUUUCAUGCUUUUUCUCUCGAGAUUGAUGAAAUUCCACUCAAAAUCAUUAUCAAUUCAAUGCUCCAAAAAGUUGGUCAAUUUUGUGGAUUAAAUUUUUCGAUGCAGUUAGUUUAGUUUAGUUGGGUAGAAAUAUUUAAAAUGAAGAUUUUGUAAGAUUUUUGUACUAUUCGAUGUUUAUUGUAGAUUCGAUAGCCAAAGCUUUAUCAGAUCUGAAAAAGGAAGGUAGAU
rnacentral:lncRNA from 1 species